CCUGGCUCAGGAUGAACGCUAGCGGCAGGCUUAACACAUGCAAGUCGAGGGGCAGCAUGAGACGGAGAUUCGUCGAAGUCUUGAUGGCGACCGGCGCAAGGGUGCGUAACGCGUGAGCAACUUGCCCGUUUCAGGGGGAUAACCGGUGGAAACGCCGACUAAUACCCCAUGGUGAUGUUCAGGGGCAUCCCUUUACAUCUAAAGAAUUUCGGAAACGGAUAGGCUCGCGUGACAUUAGCUAGAUGGCGGGGUAACGGCCCACCAUGGCGACGAUGUCUAGGGGUUCUGAGAGGAAGGUCCCCCACACUGGAACUGAGACACGGUCCAGACUCCUACGGGAGGCAGCAGUGAGGAAUAUUGGUCAAUGGUCGAAGGACUGAACCAGCCAUGCCGCGUGAAGGUGACGGCCCUAUGGGUCUUAAACUUCUUUUGUAAGGGAGCAAUAAGUUCUACGUGUAGGACGAUGAGAGUACCUUACGAAUAAGCAUCGGCUAACUCCGUG
rnacentral:rRNA from 1 species